rnacentral:rRNA from 1 species
GAUGAACGCUAGCGGCAGGCCUAAUACAUGCAAGUCGAACGGGAUCCAGAUCAACGCUUGCUUUGGUCUGGUGAGAGUGGCGCACGGGUGCGUAACGCGUGAGCAACCUACCCUUGUCAGGGGGAUAGCCCGGCGAAAGUCGGAUUAAUACCGCAUGACAUCAUUGAGAGGCAUCUUUCGAUGAUCAAAGAUUUAUCGGACAAGGAUGGGCUCGCGUGACAUUAGCUAGUUGGUAAGGUAACGGCUUACCAAGGCUGCGAUGUCUAGGGGUUCUGAGAGGAGAAUCCCCCACACUGGUACUGAGCCACGGACCAGACUCCUACGGGAGGCAGCAGUAAGGAAUAUUGGUCAAUGGACGGAAGUCUGAACCAGCCGUGCCGCGUGCAGGAGGACGGCCCUAUGGGUUGUAAACUGCUUUUAUACGGGAACAAACGUCGGUACGUGUACCGGUCUGAGUGUACCGUAAGAAUAAGGAUCGGCUAACUCCGUG